rnacentral:rRNA from 1 species
UAGUGGCGGACGGGUGAGUAACGCGUGGGAAUCUGCCCUCAGGAGGGGGAUAACGGUUGGAAACGACCGCUAAUACCCCAUAUGCCGAGAGGUGAAACGAAAUUCGCCUGAGGAUGAGCCCGCGUCUGAUUAGCUAGUUGGUGGGGUAAAGGCCUACCAAGGCAUCGAUCAGUAGCUGGUCUGAGAGGAUGAUCAGCCACACUGGGACUGAGACACGGCCCAGACUCCUACGGGAGGCAGCAGUGGGGAAUUUUCCGCAAUGGGCGCAAGCCUGACGGAGCAACGCCGCGUGAGGGAUGAAGGCCUCUGGGCUGUAAACCUCUUUUCUCAAGGAAGAAGAACUGACGGGUACUUGAGGAAUAAGCCACGGCUAA